UACGUAGGGUCCGAGCGUUGUCCGGAGUUACUGGGCGUAAAGCGCGCGCAGGCGGCGGUAUAAGCAUGGCGUGAAAGCCCCAGGCUCAACCUGGGAGGGUCGUCGUGGACUGUACCGCUUGAGGGCGGUAGGGGCUGGUGGAAUGCCUGGUGUAGUGGUGAAAUGCGUAGAGAUCAGGCGGAACACCCGUGGCGAAGGCGGCCAGCUGGGCCGUCCCUGACGCUGAGGCGCGACAGCGUGGGGAGCGAACGGG
rnacentral:rRNA from 1 species